UUCAAGGUGCUGCAUGGUUGUCGUCAGCUCGUGCCGUGAGGUGUCGGGUUAAGUCCCAUAACGAGCGCAACCCUUACCGUUAGUUACCAUCAGGUUUAAGCUGGGGACUCUAGCGGGACUGCCACCGUAAGGUGAGAGGAAGGUGGGGAUGACGUCAAAUCAGCACGGCCCUUAUGUCCAGGGCUACACACGUGUUACAAUGGCCAGUACAAAGGGCAGCUACCGGGUGACCGGAUGCUAAUCUCUAAAGCUGGUCUCAGUUCGGAUCGAAGUCUGCAACCCGACUUCGUGAAGCUGGAUUCGCUAGUAAUCGCGCAUCAGCAACGCUGCGGUGAAUACGUUCCCGGGCCUU
rnacentral:rRNA from 1 species